rnacentral:misc_RNA from 1 species
GUGAAGAACGCAGCGAAAUGCGAUAAGUAAUGUGAAUUGCAGAAUUCAGUGAAUCAUCGAAUCUUUGAACGCACAUUGCGCCCAUCAGUAUUCUGUUGGGCAUGCCUGUCCGAGCGUCAUUUCAACCCUCAGGGCCCGUUCGCGGGAACUGGUGUUGGGGAUCGGCCUCCCCCCGGAGGCCGGCCCCGAAAUGCAGUGGCGGCUCUACCGCGAUCUCCUCUGUGUAGUAGCGAUACCUCGCAGCUGGAUAGUGGUGGUGCCACGCCGUAAAAUCCCAACUUUACCAAGGUUGACCUCGGAUCAGGUAGGAAUACCCGCUGAACUUAAGCAUAUCAAUAAGCGGAGGA